rnacentral:lncRNA from 1 species
AAACCUUCUAAAAAGAUACUACUAUCAUUUUCGAUUCCGUACACUUCAUAGUUGUAAUUCCACACCCAGCUGCCUUGUAUGUUUUCUCUCUCACUUCUUUGAGAGAGAGAGAGAGAACAUUUAUAUAUAUAGUUUAUAUAUCUGUAUAUGUAAAUUUAUCCACAUAUAGGAAAGCCGCAUUUUUUAGAGAGAGAAUAAUGUUGGAAUUGAGAGAUGGAAGUUGUUAUCCAAAGGCUUUGGUUGGUGUCAAUGUCUUUCUUNN